ACACUUCAUAAUCCUUCAUAAACAGUCCCACCAACUGGGGACCAAGCGUUCAAAUAUGUGAGCCUGUGGGGGCCCUUCUCACUCAAACCGCCACAGCCGUGUUUUGAAAGGCGGAGAUUAAAAAUCUCUGUUUUAAGCAGAGGGUGCGGCUGGAUGUGUGUUGAGUAACUCAACACAUCUCCGCUGUGACUGGGACAUGUGUGUCACCACCUCCCAGGCUCAGCGAGCCCCAUGGAAAAGGAAGCAGAGAGAGGAGCCGCUCUGACGAUCUACGCAAGACCUAAGAAUGGCUGGACCUGUUGCUAUUCCAUCCCGGAGAGGGGCGUGGCUUGGCGCUGCAUUUCCCUGAUGACUGACAGGCAAAUUUGUGGUUUCCAGAGGAGGGAGAGAUGUUUUCUUCGGUGGUGUAGACCCUGGUGUCAUCAAGUAAAGAUGAGCAGAUCCUCUAGAAACACAGCCCUAGUCCAACAGGACCCGUGUCCUUAGAAGAAGAUGCAUAGCCACUUGAGAAGAUCAUUGUCUAAUGGCAUGGGCAGAGAUCGGAGUGCCUACAAGCCAAGGAACGUCCAGAAUCGCAAGAACUGUUCAGGGCCUGGAGAUGCCAAAAGAAGGCGAGGAGGAGGAGGAAGAAAAGUGGCCCAUGACUUUGAGCACUGAGAUCUCUGUCCCUAAGAGGAACAUCAACAUACAGACGGUCUCUAUGAUGAUCAAUGUUGUCACCUUAACAGGAUUGAGAAUCACCCGGGAGACAGAUCUCCAGGCUUGUCUAUGAGGAAGUUUCUAGAUUGGGUUAACUGAGGCAGGAAAACCCACCCUAGUAUGUGGGCAGCACCAUUCCAUGGG